UUCCAGUCAAUGAUGUAUCAUUUACUGCGUUAUCUAUCUGUAAAUCCAAAUGGUUUGAAGACGAUCUAAUAUUACUGAGACUUGGA